rnacentral:misc_RNA from 1 species
AGCAGCCGCGGUAAUUCCAGCUCCAAUAGCGUAUAUUAAAGUUGUUGCAGUUAAAAGCUCGUAGUUGAAUUUCGGGAUUGACGUGAUGGUCAUGCCUUAAGGGGUAUGAACUGUUACUGUUGAUUUCUCACCUUCUGGAGAAACUUGAUGUCCUUUAUUGGGUGUCUUGCGGAUCCAGGACCUUUACCUUGAAAAAAUUAGAGUGUUUAAAGCAGGCAUUUUUGCUCGAAUACAUUAGCAUGGAAUAAUAGAAUAGGACGGCAUGGUUCUAUUUUGUUGGUUUCUAGGAUCACCGUAAUGAUUAAUAGGGAUAGUUGGGGGGCAUUAGUAUUCAAUUGUCAGAGGUGAAAUUCUUGGAUUUAUUGAAGACUAACUACUGCGAAAGCAUUUGCCAAGGAUGUUUUCAUUAAUCAAGAACGAAAGUUAGGGGAUCGAAGACGAUCAGAUACCGUCGUAGUCUUAACCAUAAACUAUGCCGACUAGGAAUCAGACGAUGUUAAUUUUUUAAUGACUCGUUUGG